rnacentral:rRNA from 1 species
CUCAGUUCGGAUUGGAGUCUGCAACCCGACUCCAUGAAGCUGGAUUCGCUAGUAAUCGCGCAUCAGCCACGGCGCGGUGAAUACGUUCCCGGGCCUUGUACACACCGCCCGUCAAGCCAUGGGAGCCGGGGGUACCUGAAGUGCGUGACCGCAAGGAGCGCCCCUAAGGUAAAACCGGUGACUGGGGCUAAGUCGUAACAAGGUACC